UACGUAGGGGGCAAGCGUUGUCCGGAUUUAUUGGGCGUAAAGAGCGUGUAGGCGGCCGCACAGGUCCGUUGUGAAAACUGGAGGCUUAACCUCCAGACGUCGAUGGAAACCGUGCGGCUAGAGUCCGGAAGAGGAGAAUGGAAUUCCUGGUGUAGCGGUGAAAUGCGCAGAUAUCAGGAAGAACACCCCGUGGCUAAGGCGGUUCUCUAGUACGGUACUGACGCUGAGACGCGAAAACUGG
rnacentral:rRNA from 1 species